GUUUUUGCAACUCUAAAUAUAAUCUGGCCACUGCCUGAAAAGUUUGCAUAGUUAACUGUGCCUUACACUUUUCCUUAACGUGUAUCCACAAGAUUGGAAGUUUAUACUAGUCUGGCUAGUAAGUCUUAUUGCUUAUAUGAUUGUUUGGACUAGUAACCAUCACCCAACUUUUUGUUUUCUACAAAAAUCUUUUAUCACUUCAGUUUAUUUACAACUGCUUUUGUGGCCCAUGCUACAGGUUUCAUAUUGUAUUCUCCUGUUUUUCAGAAUUGUUUUGGUACUGUUACAGUAUAUACAUGUAAAACUUUUCAUAGUUUAAAUAUGGAAUAUUAA